CCCUAUGGGGUGCAGCAGGCGCGAAAACUUCACACUGCAGGAAACUGUGAUGAGGGAACUCCAAGUGCGCGCACUUAGUGUGCGCUUUUGUUGACUAUUAAUCGGUCAAUGAAUAAGGGCUGGGAAAGACCGGUGCCAGCCGCCGCGGUAAUACCGGCAGCUCAAGUGGUCGUCGCUUUUAUUGGGCCUAAAACGUCCGUAGCCUGUUUGGUAAAUCUGUGGGUAAAUCAACCAGCUUAACUGGUUGAAUUCUGCAGAGACUGCCAGACUAGGGACCGGGAGAGGUGUGGGGUACUCUAGGGGUAGGGGUAAAAUCCUGUCAUCCUUAGAGGACCACCAGUUGCGAAGGCGCCACACUGGAACGGAUUCGACGGUCAGGGACGAAGCCUAGGGGCACGAACCGGAUUAGAUACCCGGGUAGUCCUAGGUGUAAACGCUGUGAACUUGGUGUCGGGGAUCCGUCAUGGGUCCCCGGUGCCGGAGUGAAGAUGUUAAGUUCACUGCCUGGGGAGUACGGUCGCAAGGCUGAAACUUAAAGGAAUUGGCGGGGGAGCACUGCAACGGGAGGAGCGUGCGGUUUAAUUGGAUUCAACGCCGGAAAACUCACCAGGGCCGACUGUUAGAUGAAGACCAGUGUAACGAACUUGUCGGAUUUUCAGAGAGGUGGUGCAUGGCC
rnacentral:rRNA from 1 species